rnacentral:rRNA from 1 species
CAUGCUCAUGACGAACGCUGGCGGCGUGCUUAACACAUGCAAGUCGAACGGAAAGGCCUUUUCGGAGGUACUCGAGUGGCGAACGGGUGAGUAACACGUGGGUGAUCUGCCCUGCACUCUGGGAUAAGCCUGGGAAACUGGGUCUAAUACCGGAUAGGACCGCACUUUAGUGUGUGUGGUGGAAAGUUUUUUCGGUGUAGGAUGAGCCCGCGGCCUAUCAGCUUGUUGGUGGGGUAAUGGCCUACCAAGGCGGCGACGGGUAGCCGGACUGAGAGGUUGGUCGGCCACAUUGGGACUGAGAUACGGCCCAGACUCCUACGGGAGGCAGCAGUGGGGAAUAUUGCACAAUGGGCGCAAGCCUGAUGCAGCGACGCCGCGUGGGGGAUGACGGCCUUCGGGUUGUAAACUCCUUUCGCCAGGGACGAAGCGUUUUGUGACGGUACCUGGAGAAGAAGCACCGGCUAACUACGUGCCAGCAGCCGCGGUAAUACGUAGGGUGCAAGCGUUGUCCGGAAUUACUGGGCGUAAAGAGCUCGUAGGUGGUUUGUCACGUCGUCUGUGAAAUUCCACAGCUUAACUGUGGGCGUGCAGGCGAUACGGGCUGACUUGAGUACUGUAGGGGUAACUGGAAUUCCUGGUGUAGCGGUGAAAUGCGCAGAUAUCAGGAGGAACACCGAUGGCGAAGGCAGGUUACUGGGCAGUUACUGACGCUGAGGAGCGAAAGCAUGGGUAGCAAACAGGAUUAGAUACCCUGGUAGUCCAUGCCGUAAACGGUGGGCGCUAGGUGUAGGGGCCUUUUGGGGUUUCUGUGCCGUAGCUAACGCAUAAGCGCCCCGCCUGGGGAGUACGGCCGCAAGGCUAA